GGGGGCGACCUGGUUUCGACAGGGGUUGCAAAGCAGCGCAGGGCAUACCGAGGACUGGUUACCUCGCAAAUCCAUCCAGAAUUGCUUAAACGCAAACGACGAAGCUUACGCACCAGCAAUGGCAGCGUAAUACCCCUAGCGGCUUAAAAACCCGCUAGCUCUGCACCACCGGGUCUCUGGGGUGGGUUGGCAACAACAGCAGAGUCAUUUACAGAGAAUCGCGACAUGUCGGGUUACUUGGCAUGAAGUUAAAUUUAGGUGACUCGUCCAGCCGUAGCGUGCCUGUCCGCGGCGUAUGGAUUAAAUCAAAUGGCAAGGCUAAGUAUGUAGAACUGUCUGUAGAGUACUUCUGGAC
rnacentral:tmRNA from 1 species